CGUUACACACCGCCCGUCACACCACUGGGAGGUUGGUUUUACCUUGAAGAUGGUGCGCUAACCGCAAGGAGGCAGCCGGCCACGGUAGGGUCAGCGACUGGGGUG
rnacentral:rRNA from 1 species